rnacentral:rRNA from 1 species
UACGAGGGGGGCAAGCGUUUGUUCGGAAUUAUUGGGCGUAAAGGGCGCGUAGGCGGUGCGGUAAGUCUGAUGUGAAAUCUCCGGGCUCAACUCGGAGUCUGCAUCAGAAACUGCCGUGCUCGAGUGUGGGAGAGGUGAGUGGAAUUCCCGGUGUAGCGGUGAAAUGCGUAGAUAUCGGGAGGAACGCCUGUGGCGAAAGCGGCUCACUGGACCACAACUGACGCUGAGGCGCGAAAGCUAGGGGAGCAAACAGGG